UUCGGAGGAGGCGAGCCUCGAGUUAAAGUUCAUAGACGUAGAGCAGAUGUUAGCCUCUGUUGGCCUUUAGCGGAGAAAAACGUUCAUUUUACUGAAACUGAGGAUUAAAUUUCUGACGGCGCUACGUAUUAUUAGUUCAUUAUUAUUAUUAUUAGUGAAAUUGCAUUGACUUUGAAAGAUUAUUACAAAGACUAUUACAAAGCAUGACUAGCAGUUCAAACUUGAUCAAAAUGAGUAGUUCUACAGUGGAUAUAAAAAAUCUACACACCCCUGUUUAACUACCAGGUUUUUGUCAUGUGAGAAAAUGACAGCAAGAGAAAUAUUUUCACAACUUUUCCACCUUUGAAUGUGACCAAUAACCUGUACAAUGCAAUUGAAAAACAAACUGAAACCUUUAAGGGGGAAAAUAAAAAAUAGAAAAGUAAAAAUAACCUGGUUGCAUAAAUAUGCUCACCCUUAAACUAAUACUUUGUUGCAGCACCUUUGGUUUCUAUUACAGCACUCAGUCUUUUGGGGUAGGAGUCUAUCAGCGUGGCACAUCUUGAUGUGGAAAUAUUUGCCCACUCUUCCUUGCAAAACCGCUCCAAAUCUGUAGAUUGUGAGGGCAUCUCCUAUGCACAGACCUCUUCAGAUAACCUCACAAAUGUUCGAUGAUUUAGAUGUGUGCUUUGGGUCAUUGUCAUGCUGAAAAAUGAAGUUCCUCUCCAGCUUUCUAGCAGAAGGCCGAAGGUUUUGUGCCAACACUAACUGGUAUUUGGAAAUGUUCAUAAUUCCCUCCACCCUGACUAAGACACCAGUUCCAGCUGAAGAAAAACAGCCCCAAAGCAUGAUGCUGCCACAACCAUGCUUCACUGUGGGUAUGGUGUUCUUUUGGUGAUGAGCAGUGUUGAUUUUGCGCCAAAUAUACCUUUUGCAAGGAUGCCCAAAAAGUUCAACUUUGGUUUCAUCAGACAAUAGCACAUUUUCCCACAUGCAUUUGGGAGAUUUCAGAUGUCUUUUUGCAAAAUUAAGCCGGGCUUUGAUGUUUUUCUUUGUAAGAUAAGGUUUCCAUCUUGCCACCCUACCCCAUAGCCCAGACAUGAAGACAGCAGGAGGUUGUUGUCACAUGUACUACACAGCCAGUACUUGCCAGAAAUUCCUGCAGCUCCUCAGUGUUGCUGUCGGCCUCUUGGUAGUCUCCCUGACCAGUUUUCCUCUUGUCUUAUCAUCAAUUUUGGACGGACGUCCUGUUCUUGGUAAUGUCACCGUUGUGCCAUAUUUUCUCCACUUGAUAAUGACGGUCUACACUGUGUUCCAUGGUAUAUAUAAUUCCUUGAAAAUUCUUUUGUAGCCCUCACCUGACUGAUAUCUUUUGAAUAAUACGAUCCCUCUGAUGCUUUGGAAGCUCUCUGUGGACCAUGGCUUGUGCUGGAAGAUGUGGCUACAAAAAUGUCAGGAAAAGCUACUAGAACAGCUGAACUUUAUUUGGGGUUGAUCAGAGUCACUUUAAUUGGUGACAGGUGUGUGCUGACUCCAGUUUAACCUGAGUUUGAAUGUUAUUGGUUAAAUCUGAACGCAGCCACAUCCCCAGAUAUUAAAGGGUGUGCACACUUAUGCAACCACAUGAUCUCAGUUCUUUAUUUUUAUCUCACCUCCCUGAA
rnacentral:lncRNA from 1 species